rnacentral:lncRNA from 1 species
CCGUUCCUUGACUAGAAGACAUGAUUAAGUAUGUAAGUUCUUGUUCUCCUCCCUUCCUUACAGCACCUGGAGAAAGCCAGAAGGUGCUCAGACAACAACUCAUCAACAAAUUGAUAGAAGAUAAUAAAUUGACGAGAAGAAGGAAAAAGAAGUGACUACACGUUAAAAGAGUCAAGUGCAUUGAUAAAUUAUUACAGGUUAAAAGAGUCAAAUGCAUUGAUAAAUGAUUACAGGUUAAAAGAGUCAAACAGGAUGAUCUAAUUAUGAUUUAUGAGAAAUUCAAAAAAAUUUAGUUGGUUUACAAAAAUGCUAAACUAGUCACUUAAUCAAAGGAAAAGAAAAUGUUAAACAGAACCUACAGCCCUGCUAUAUUUCUUAGAGAACUGCAGGAUGAGCUUUUCCAUUGUUCAAGCACAUGACAGAUAUGCUUUGCAGUAUGCUCAUUCCAAGGCUAAUUAAUAACUAUAGGGUAAAAACAAAGCUGGAUAUUGUCUUUGAUUAAAAGAAAAUGAGAUUACCAUCUUGACGACUUGACCUGCCCAGAUUCAGCCCAGCCGCCUAUUUGCCACCUAGAAUUAACGGCAGAAGAUUACAGAGAAGCUGAUGAUUAUUCAAAGAAUUCUUCAAAUUGAAACCUCACAUAUUAUCAAAAUGUAAGUUACUUUUUAUUACAAGCCCACCCGGUCCUGGUCCAUUCCAAUAGCUAGCCUAGCUCGGUCUGCAUUGAUUUUGGGCGACAAUCAGGACCAGCCCAGCCUGCCUGGGACAAUUUUGGUCCCCAUUUUCUGUGCAUGUUAGGUCAGUCUCCUGGGCCAACCAGUCUCAGUUUCCAGGUCUAGUCAACAAGGAAUAUCUAAUUUGUUCCCAUGUGUAUGGUAGAGAUAGUAGGUUACCUCCCUUUAAAUCAAAACAUAAUCAAAGUACCUCCUCAUAGAUGUAAAGACUUUGCUAAAUACUCCCUUUCUGCUAAAUCAACCUAAACUUUAGUAGUUGAAUGAUAAAACUAUGCUUACAGUCACUUUAGUAGUAGUAAAUAAGUCAUUUGACACGAUCACAGAAGUAUUGCUUAAACAACAUUAAAUCAAAGACCUGAAUUAUGCACUGGGAGAGCUCGACGACUCCAAUUGCAGGCCUUAGCCAACCAUGUCCCUUAGCAGUGCAUGGCAUAGUUGCCAUCUGCAUGAACAAUAAACAAGAUGACCAACUCCAAGUCACAGUUGAAAAAGAGGGUAGAUAAGAAACCAAAAGUUAAAGUUUAAAGUAAACUUAUAUUAGCCAACACAUACUGAACAGUAGCAAAUCAUAUUCAUGUACAAAAAAAAAAAAAAGAUGGCUGAUUGCAUUAACAUCAGACAAUCUCAACCUAAAAGAAAAGUUGUUUGACAAUAUAAGUUCAAAACUACAUCUAUAAGAUAUCAACUAAACUAUCUAGAAAAAAAAAAACUAAACUGUUAGAACACAUAUACUGAUUAAAAAAAAUCUUUCAAACGGUCGAAAUAGCCUACAAAUCACCACCGUAUAAUGUAACUUAUCCCAUCAUAGCACUAUAAAUGGUGGGAUAAAUCAUUUCGAGACUAACUAAUACCCCUAACCAAAUGCAUGUAAUCCCUUAUCCCUUAUACCAAACAACCCCUUAGUAUUCAAGUUCUUGUUUUGAUAAGUCUCCCCAGAAUGAAUACUAACGUACAAUUAUAAACGGCAGAAUAAUAUAUGAAAAACAACAAGAUUAUUCCAUUCACAUUAUUCAGAGAGAAGUGUCACAAGUACAUCUUCUGCCUCAAGUGUUAGUCAUAGUAUUCUCAAGAUUUAGCGCCAGUAAAUAGAAAAGUUCACAAUCAUUUUAGAGAAGAAGAGUAAACUGAACUAGAAGAAUAACUCAAACAAGAAGAGUAACUCGAAGAAAACAAACAACUCACUGAAUAAAAGAAGAAAAUAAGAAUCAACUCGCGAAAAAGGAGGCAUACGUAAGAUUAUAGUAAACAGAAAACAUCGAUUCAUUUUGACAAGAAUGGAAGAAUAUAUGGUGCUACUAUUAGAACUUAUCUUCUUGAAAGAUCUCAAGUUUCCCAAAUUUCAAACAAAAAUAGAACUAUCAUUGUUUCUACCUUUUAUGAGCAACACCGUAGGAGGUAAUUUGAAUCAGUUUGAGUUAAUUAGAUUGUAAAAUAUAAUUGAUUGCUUAGACAUACACAAUACACUGAUAUGAUCUAUUUAUAUUAGAUAACUAUUCAAUGGAGUGAUUGAAAUUGCUAAUUUAUUCUAGUUAGAUAUAAAUCUGGUAGGAAUUAGUGGCACGUUACUACGCGCGUGGAUCAGAUUUAACAACUUCAAUCACUUUUCCCGCCUUCUCUGUUAGCCUUAAAAGUUGAACAAUAGUUCACUUGUUAUUAAAUAUGGAUUUCUCAAGUUUAAUACAACUCGCUAUCUUCUAUCAGAACAUUAUUUUAGGCUCAUUGAGUUGNNNNNNNNNNNNNNNNNNNNNNNNNNNNNNNNNNNNNNNNNNNNNNNNNNNNNNNNNNNNNNNNNNNNNNNNNNNNNNNNNNNNNNNNNNNNNNNNNNNNNNNNNNNNNNNNNNNNNNNNNNNNNNNNNNNNNNNNNNNNNNNNNNNNNNNNNNNNNNNNNNNNNNNNNNNNNNNNNNNNNNNNNUUUCUAUUUUUUAUGUGCAACACCAUAGGAGGUAAUUUGCAUCAGUUCGAGUUAAUUAGAUUGUAAAAUAUAAUUGAUUCUUUAGACAUACACAAAUACACUAUAUGAUCGAUUUAUAUUAGAUAACUUUAUGGUAGUGCAAUUGCAAUUCCUAAUUUUCUUAAGUUAGAUAGAAAUCUAUUAGGAACUAGUGGCACUUGACUACACACAUGGAUCAGUUGAACAACUGCAACUACUUUCUUUCACUGCUAGUCUAAAAAUGUGAACAAUACUUCACUUGUAAUUCAUAAUGGAUUUCUCAAGUUUAAUACAACUCUCUCUAUCGUCUCUCAAACACUAUUUUAGGUCAUUUAGCUGUGAGUUCCACUGUUCAAGAACGGUUAGAAACACUCUAUUCUCUUAGGAUUGAUCCCCUUCAUAUUUUGGAUCUUAUCACACCACAAAAUUUAAUAUACUUAAAAAAACGACCUUCUAGUCUAAAUGAAAAAGUGUAAAUCAAACAAGAAGAGUUAUAAUCGCAGUGCAAUUUUGAGUAUUUAGGCGUGCUGCAGUGAAUUUCAUGAAAUAUAGCUAAUUCAUCUAUAAGCCAAUUAUUCAAUUAUUUCCUUCUUCAUUUCCAGUCCUACUUGCCUUAUAAAUCAGCAUGUAACAGUUUUUUAUUUUUAGAUGGAGCAUGUAACAGUUAAGAUCUUAUCAAUUCUAAAAUGAAUCCAAAAGCUGGCAACAUAAAGAUACCUAUGUAAUCUUUCCAGUAAAAUGAAUUAUAUUAGCAUACAUGUGAUCUUUUGAUACAUUGAUAUCAUUAACCAGUACAGGUUACCAUUUACGGAAGCACCCACAUUAACCUCAUCAAUAGAUUUCCUUGAAAUCAGUCACCAUGUUCUUGAUGUCAUCAGCAACUCAAUAAUCAGAAGACAUCAUCUAAACUAUGAGUACCAAAAGCCUUCAUUUGCAAGAUACUUGAUUUGCAUUUGAUAAUGAUUCUAGCUCGGGUAGUAAGUUUUACCAUCUACCCAUUAACAUAGUCAAAAGUUGCAAAAGUUAUUUUACUUUUGCAACCUAUCAGCCUAUACAGUUACCUCACAAACAUAGCAACCUUUCUGAAUCCUAUAACAAAAUACUGAACUGACUUAAAAUCCAUUAGUAUCUAGACAAAAAGAAUUAUCAUUAAGUUUAUCCAUCCCUCUGUUCUUCACAUCAAAGUUCACCGCAGGACACUUGUUUUACUAAUAGAAAACAAUAUCGACAAAGUGUUCUACCCAACCAAAUGACAAACAUAUGCACAAGUAAGCAAAUCCACACAAGAGACAACUAGCAGAAUGUCACAGCCCUCGCACUUUAAACAAUUCCACACAGACAUCAAUUCACUUAUUUUAGUAGGAACAAAUUGGCAUUUAUGCCUACCAACAAGCAAAUAAAUCAAGAAACAUUUUUAGUACUGAAAUUUUCAAAUAUUUCUCUCAAAAGAUAACUUCUGUUAAUACUGAAUUUCUUGUUUGAGAUGCAGCCAGGCUUUAGACAAAUAUAAAAUGGCUUCUAGUCCUAUAGAAACAGCAAAAUUAACAUGAUCAAAACUCAGCCUAAUGCACCCCCUAACAAGUAAAUAUAUCUAGAAACAACUCUAAAAACUACAAUGCAAAAUAACAAAUUUACUCUUUCAGUGAUGAAUCAGAUAAACACAAUACACCUACAAAGAGGAGACCAAGGGAUAGAUUUAUUAAUAAGAAUAAGGAGAACUUCACAGAACCAACAAAAUUUGAAACAACUCUAGUAACCAUAAUUCAGAAAUUUCUCUUAAAAGAUUGCUCCUCACAGUGAUUAAUUUCUACCAUAAUAUGCAAUCAAGUUUCAGAGUAACACAACAUUCAUUAAAAGAUUCAAUUUUUACAUGAAGAGAAAAUCAAAACUGCACUUUCCAACUACUAAAUAAACAAAAAAACGCGAAGGUGCGCAUACCUGAAAUUCGAGUAAGGUAGAAAAUAGAGAUUGAGUUGAGAUCGCUGCUAGGAAGACCUGUGCUUUCUCGGUUUUGAGAAAACACAGAUGAAACGCUGAGAACUACGAGCUAUGCUGAGAUCGCUUCAAGGCAGAUGUUGCUAGGGUUUUCUGAUUCACGAUAGUGUUUUGAGAAACAAAACGGUAUUUGUCUUUUUUUAUUUUUGCAAUUUUAAUUACA